AGGAUGGACUUCAUUUACUGUCUGUGGAAAGUUACGACGCUUGGUGAAAGUACAAAAGGUUGGACAUGCUGGAACUCUGGACCCAAUGGCAACUGGAUUGUUGAUUGUUUGUGUAGGAAAAGCAACCAAAAUAGUUGACAGCUACCAAGGAAUGGUUAAAGGCUAUAGCAGUGUUUUCCGACUUGGAGAAGCCACAUCAACCUGGGAUGCAGAUUCACCA